GACGAACGCUGGCGGCGUGCCUAAUACAUGCAAGUUGAGCGAUGAAGAUUGGUGCUUGCACCAAUUUGAAGAGCAGCGAACGGGUGAGUAACGCGUGGGGAAUCUGCCUUUGAGCGGGGGACAACAUUUGGAAACGAAUGCUAAUACCGCAUAACAACUUUAAACAUAAGUUUUAAGUUUGAAAGAUGCAAUUGCAUCACUCAAAGAUGAUCCCGCGUUGUAUUAGCUAGUUGGUGAGGUAAAGGCUCACCAAGGCGAUGAUACAUAGCCGACCUGAGAGGGUGAUCGGCCACAUUGGGACUGAGACACGGCCCAAACUCCUACGGGAGGCAGCAGUAGGGAAUCUUCGGCAAUGGACGAAAGUCUGACCGAGCAACGCCGCGUGAGUGAAGAAGGUUUUCGGAUCGUAAAACUCUGUUGGUAGAGAAGAACGUUGGUGAGAGUGGAAAGCUCAUCAAGUGACGGUAACUACCCAGAAAGGGACAGCUAACUACGUG
rnacentral:rRNA from 1 species